GGCCCUGAUUUGCAUAUUGCACACAUGUGUUUUUCUUUGAAACAAACUUGCUUUGGCGGUGGGCCCAGCCUGCCGCCAGAGGUCUAAACUUACAACCAAUUUUUUAUCAACUUGUCACACCAGAUUAUUACUAAUAGUCAAAACUUUCAACAACGGAUCUCUUGGUUCUCGCAUCGAUGAAGAACGCAGCGAAAUGCGAUACGUAAUAUGAAUUGCAGAUAUUCGUGAAUCAUCGAAUCUUUGAACGCACAUUGCGCCCUCUGGUAUUCCGGAGGGCAUGCCUGUUUGAGCGUCGUUUCUCCCUCAAACCGCUGGGUUUGGUGUUGAGCAAUACGACUUGGGUUUGCUUGAAAGACGGUAGUGGUAAGGCGGGAUCGCUUUGACAAUGGCUUAGGUCUAACCAAAAACAUUGCUUGCGGCGGUAACGUCCACCACGUAUAUCUUCAAACUUUGACCUCAAAUCAGGUAGGACUACCCGCUGAACUUAAGCAUAUCAAUAAGCGGAGGAA
rnacentral:rRNA from 1 species